GAUUUACAGAGUCACCUCCCCAUUUAGCUGUUUUUCUGCCAUGAACCUCCCAGGCUUAUCCUGGUUCUCCACAAGGCUAGCUUGGUAGAAACCCAGUGCCCUUAGACCGUAGGGGGAUACAAUAUCCAUUUCUUUAGUAAAAAAAAAAAGACAGGCGCUGCUGAUUCUACUGUCAUCAUCAUCGUUGAGGCAGAGGACAUGUACGUGUAGCCUGACGCUGACGUGUCAUUACUCUUUUUGGCCAGACGUCAUCAGAUACAUGGGCUAUGUAUAGUAACACAGAGGGGCGCUGUUUCGCUCGGAUGCCUUCUCUGGAGAGAUCGUUUCAGCCACCUCGAAUUGUAGGAAAGCUGGCGGGUGCACAGCUCACUGUUCGAAUGCUGGAAUUAUUCUGGAUGAAUGUGUGAAGAGCCAGCGGACCAUUCAACAAUAAAGCAUUAUCCAGACCAUCAAGGGAGGCGGGACAGCGAUGGGAUUUUGGAAGUAUGGCAACGCGAGAUUACUACUAAACUAAACAUGUGGAAUUGUUUAAAGAUCAUCACACCAAAGUCAAUUCAGACAUUUGAUUGUGAAUUUUAGGAACCCUGUAGGUAUAUAAAACAAAUAUGAACAUGUUUUUUGAUGACAUACUGAAUUUGGCCUUACUGCUAUUAUCCCAUAGAAACACAUUGAAUAACAGAUUCAUACAUGAGGUGGAUCAGCUUUAAUACUGCACAUAGAUUGUAGCGUCCAUCAAUGUAACUGUCUGCAUCAUUUAUAAUCCCCCAUAUUUAUAUAUUUUGUGUGUAUGUAUGUAUGUAUGUAUGUGUGUGUGUGUGUGUGUGUGUGUGUGUGUGUGUGUGUGUGUGUGUGUGUGUGUGAAUUUUAUAUAUAUAUAUAUAUAUAUAAUUCAAGUCACACUUAACCAGCAUGGCAACCACAGCAUUCUGCAGUGAUACACCAUCCCAUCUGGUUUGCACUUAGUGGGAUUAUCAUUUGUUUUUCAAGAGUACAAUAACCCAACACUCCUCCAGGUUGUGCCAGGGAUAUUUGAACAAGUGUGUGUGUGUAUACACACACACACACACAGUACCAGUCAACAUUUUGGACACACAGUUGGCUGCUUUUUCUUCACUCUGCGGUCCAACGGAUCCCAAACCAUCUCAAUUGGGUUGAGGUUGUGUGAUUGUGGAGGCCAGGUCAUCUGAUGCAGCACUCCAUCACUCUCCUUCUUGGUCAAAUAGCCCUUACACAGCCUGGAGGUGUGUUGGGUCACUGUCAUGUUGAAAAACAAAUGAUAGUCCCACUAAGUGCAAACCAGAUGGGAUGGCGUAUCGCUGCAGAAUGCUGUGGUAGCCAUGCUGGUUAAGUGUGCCUUGUCCUAUAUCAGAGCGAUAUAAAAAAUCUCAGAUUAUAAAAAAAAAAAAAUGUAUUGUGUAAUUACUUGUAUGCCUUUGCCAUUGAAAUGCCUUAAUCAUUUCCAUUCAUUUUUCAUCCCGGUAUCAGGUUACCUUCAGAUGAGUCCCCUGACACUUCUGGGGGUCGUAGAGCAGAAAGGAGAACACCAUCAUGUUCAUAAGAGAAUCAUAUAUAUUUUUUAGGCCAAACAGUUGGGAAACUAUAUACGUUAUAGACGUUUUCGCGAGAAGACAGAUUUUCUACAUUCCUCCAUGUCUGACAAAUCAUUUGAAUAUAUAUUUUUCUUUCUACCCAACUCAUGAGGCCUCUCGAUGUGAGGGCUGAGGUAAUCUGCUUUAUGGUAAACCAUCUGCUAAACCACUAUCCACCAGCCCCCCUUCUAACAUCUAAUCUACAGCACUGACACAGUCCACUCCCCUUCUAACUUCUAUAAUCUACAACACUGACACUGUCCACUCCCC
rnacentral:lncRNA from 13 species